rnacentral:rRNA from 1 species
UUUUCCUACGGGGGGCAGCAGUGGGGAAUUUUCGUCAAUGGGCGCAAGCCUGAACGAGCGAUGCCGCGUGAGUGAAGAAGGCCUUCGGGUCGUAAAGCUCUGUUGCGGGGGAAAAAAGGCAGCAUCAGGAAAUGGGAGCUGACUGAUGGUGCCCCGCCAGAAAGUCACGGCUAACUACGUGCCAGCAGCCGCGGCAAUACGUAGGUGGCGAGCGUUAUCCGGAAUGAUUGGGCGUACAGGGUGCGCAGGCGGUCCUGCAAGUC